rnacentral:rRNA from 1 species
CACGGGGGGAGCAAGCGUUGCUCGGAAUUACUGGGCGUAAAGGGCGCGUAGGCGGGAUGGCAAGUCGGUCGUGAAAUCCCUCGGCUCAACUGAGGAUCGUCGAUCGAUACUGGCUUUCUAGAGGCUGGAAGAGGUUAGUGGAAUUCCCAGUGUAGAGGUGAAAUUCGUAGAUAUUGGGAAGAACACCAGUGGCGAAGGCGGCUAACUGGUCCAGAUCUGACGCUGAGGUGCGAAAGCGUGGGGAGCAAACAGG